rnacentral:snRNA from 1 species
ACUCUGACUUCGCCCUAGAGUAAGAUGAUACAGUGGAGAUUAGCAUGACCCCUGUGCAAGAAGGACACACUAGUACCUGAAGUGUUGUCUGUAGGA